rnacentral:misc_RNA from 1 species
GAUGAAGAACGCAGCGAAAUGCGAUAAGUAAUGUGAAUUGCAAAAUCCAGUGAAUCAUCGAAUCUUUGAACGCACAUUGCGCCCGCCAGCAUUCUGGCGGGCAUGCCUGUUCGAGCGUCAUUUCAACCCUCGACCUCCCUUUGGGGAAGUCGGCGUUGGGGACCGGCAGCACACCGCCGGCCCUGAAAUGGAGUGGCGGCCCGUCCGCGGCGACCUCUGCGUAGUAAACCAACUCGCACCGGAACCCCGACGUGGCCACGCCGUAAAACACCCAACUUCUGAACGUUGACCUCGAAUCAGGUAGGACUACCCGCUGAACUUAAGCAUAUCAAUAAGCGGAGGA